rnacentral:rRNA from 1 species
UGAGGAAUCUUCCGCAAUGGGCGAAAGCCUGACGGAGCAACACCGCGUGAAGGAUGAAGUCCUUACGGAUGUAAACUUCUUUUCUGAGGGAAGAAUUCUGACGGUACCUUAGGAAUAAGCACCGGCUAACUCUGUGCCAGCAGCCGCGGUAAGACAGAGGGUGCGAGCGUUAUCCGGAAUUACUGGGCGUAAAGCGUGUGUAGGCGGAACAGUAAGUCGGGGGUUAAAUUUUCAAGCUCAACUUGAAAAACGUUCCCGAAACUCCUGUUCUUAGAAGCAUUCAGAGGCAAGUAGAAUUCUGUGUGUAGGGGUAAAAUCCGUAGAUACACGGAGGAAUGCCAAAAGCGAAAGCAGCUUGCUGGGAAUGUCUUGACGCUGAGACACGAAAGCGUGGGGAGCAAACAGG